CGGGGCGGGUACCGGGAUGGGCUCUCGAGGACCCGGCCUGUCUUCGCCCCCUGGUGGUUUCCAGGGACAGUGCGGGAGCCCCUGUGCUACCUACUCUGCAAGGGAAGGUCAAGCCAUGGUACGCACGGCACCGAGGACAGAGCGGUGAACAAAACAGACAAGCCUAAUCCUCAUGAAGUCAACAUUCCAUGAGGUGGAGACAAGUAGUGACAUAAUAGGACUUCCCUGGUGGUCCAUUGGUUGAGAAUCUGCCUGCCAAUGAAAGGAACCCGGGUUUGAUCCUUGGUCCAGGAAGAUUCCACAUGCCACGGGGCAACUAAGCCUGUGUGCUGCAACUGCUAAAACCCGCAUGCCCUUAGAGGCUGUGCCCUGAAACAAGAGAAGCCACUGCAAUGAGAAGCCCGUGCACCGCAGCGAGAGAGUAUGCCAUACUUGCCGCAACUAGACAAAAGCCCAUGAGCAGCAACAAAGACCCAGUGCAGCCAUAAAUAAAUAAAUAA